AUUGAACGCUGGCGGCAGGCCUAACACAUGCAAGUCGAACGAGUGGCGGACGGGUGAGUAAUGUAUGGGGAACUGCCUGAUGGAGGGGGAUAACUACUGGAAACGGUAGCUACUACCGCAUACCAUCAGAUGUGCCCAGAUGGGAUUAGCUAGUAGGUGAGGUAAAGGCUCACCAAGGCGACGAUCCCUAGCUGGUCUGAGAGGAUGAGCAGCCACACUGGAAAUGAGACACGGCCCAGACUCCUACGUGAGGCAGCAGUGGGGAAGAUUGCACAAUGGGCGCAAGCCUGAUGCAGCCAUGCCGCGUGUAUGAAGAAGGCCUUCGGGUUGUAAAGUACUUUCAGUGGGGAGGCGUUACCCACAGAAGAAGCACCGGCUAACUCCGUGCCAGCAGCCGCGGUAAUUC
rnacentral:rRNA from 1 species